UUGUGUCCAUCCAUGUGAUCAUCAUCGUUCCAUAUAACAUCAAGUGGGAUUUUCGCUUUCUUGUAAUUUUCGACAACGUCUUCUACAACAGAUAAGUUGUGAUAACCCCAUCUGCAUUGGUGGAAUCCUAUUACAUAACAAAUAAAUCAAGUCAGCACGUUGGUUAAGUAGAUAGGGUGUCGUAUCAGUGUGACACGUGUUGGACACCAAAUACAUUUUUGUUCAGAGGUGUUGGUGCUAGUUGGCGCGUAAUCAUGUACCACAAUAAUAUUGAUAAAAACUACACUUUCCAGUAUCAAAAUUCAGGUCUGAUAAGCCUAACUAUAACACAUACCAAAUAUAAAAGUUAAUAGAAUGUGCAACAUAGUGUGGUAUGAGAGAUUGUGAAAAGUGAAAAGUGAAUCAUACCAAAAGCCCAAUAAGGCAUUGGAGCCGGUCUACCGAUAAACGAUGUGUACUGAUCAACAACAUUAAGAGGCGUAGGACCUGCAAAGAAAUAAAAAUCAAGAACUCCUCCAAUAAUCUUGUAGGUCAGAGAGGUUCCUUUGUAAGACACAUCCAUUCCGUUGCUAUUCAACAACAAAACACCAUGUGUAUAAGGUUUGCCACCUUCAUUUCUAAGAUCCAUGUACACAGGGUGUGAUCCAUAUAGAUCAGUAUUGAGAUUAAUGGCUGAUACAUCAGUGGUAUACAAAGUAUAAGGGUCAUUUGGAUACAACUUUAUCCCAUGUGGCUGUGUGUUUUCUCCAAAACCAUAUAAAGAAGCAUCUUUUGGCAAUUUCGUAGAGAUUUCUAUGUAUUGGUCUUUGAAAACCAAUGGACCAAAUGAGUCUGAAUUGUUAGAAUUGGAGUCAAAAAGGGUAUCUCCAUUGGACUUCCUUUUCACUGCAAAACUAAAUGGGUCAGAAGUGUAACUGAAAACAAGCUCAGAGCUUGAAUACUCCGAAACUGAUAAUGGCUGCUUCUUCUUCUUCAACCUCUUUAUAUUCUGCUUCAGAGGUGGUGGUUGCUCCCUAGGCAAAAGAUUGUAAGGAACCUCCCAUCUUUUGUUCUUUGCAUCCGUUAUGUGUACCCUCAAACGAUUCUCAGUCUCAUGCCUGCAAAACCAAGAACCAAAGUAUAAGGUACAUAACACCUUCACUCGUGUCUGACAGGGCCGUCUUUAAGGGUGUGCAAUAUGGGCUACUGCACAUGGCCUCAAAUUCGUCACAGUUAAAUAGGGUCUCAUAAUAAAUUUGUCACGACUAAACCAUGUCUAAAACGGGCCCCUAGUUGUUUUUGUCUAAGUUGAACCAUAACUAACAUACAUAAGGCCUCCAAAAACUUAAGACACUCUGGUGUCUGGUGUCUGAGUUCAUCGCUGACACGAGACACAAUACCAACACAUGUAAUUACGUUCGGUUUAUUAUUUUUUUCAAAUUAUUAUUGAUAUCAAUGUCUAAGUGUCGAGUCACGUAUCUAUGUUAGUGUUUAGUAAGAUUCAUAAAGAAAAAACAGGAAUGCAUAAUUAUUUACUUGACAUAGAAGCGCAGAAGGGGAAUGUCAGGACCAUAGAUAUUAUUCCUCUCCUUAACUUGAAGGAGUCCAGUGAUAGCACCAUUAGGGUCAUCUUGAAUAGAUAUCAAACGGUAACCUUGACCAAUUUUGGUGGAUUUUGGAGAAGAAGAAGAAGAAGAGGAGGCAUGUUUAGCUUCAGAGAGAAACAAAGUUAGAAGAAGAUAAGAGAGAAAAAGAGUGGCUAAUACAUUGAGAGAAGCCAUAGUAGGACACUGUAGAGUAAAACAACGUAGGAGAGGGUUCUGAUAUAUAAUUGAGAAAAUGGUUACUUUGGUGUUUUUGUGUUUGUUUCUUGUGGGACAUAAGAAGAUUGAGUGAGGAAGUGUCUCAUAGGAUCCAUUACGUUACGCGUGACUUUGAACUUGAGAGGAUCAUACUAAUCUUGUGACUGUGGGCCAUUCUGUUCCUUAUUCUUUCAUCUCUCUAGCAUGCUGAAGUGGAUAGAUAAUUAGAUACCUUAAAAAUUGUCUGAUGUUUUACCCUAACUUUAUUAGGUUUUAAAAUACGCGGUUGUCUCAGUGUAAAUUAACCAUAAUUUAUUCUUUAAUAUAAAAAUGGUAAAUAAUGGUAUCCGUAUUUGCCAAUACGGUUUUGUUGUAUCUGUUUUCGCAGUCUUGGACAGUUAUUUAAAACUCUCGCUUUAUUACACAAUGAUAACAUAAUGGAACACUCUUAAAUUUGACACAAGAUUCAAAAAAGAUGAGAUGAAAGAGUCUAAACUUAUGAUCCCAUCUUCCAUGUAAGAGAAAAUCUUUUACCUACAGGGAUAUUCAAUCCCUUCAAUCCAACCAUUACUGUUUUCUUUUCUCCAUCUCCUUCCUUGUACAAGUACUUAUGUUCAUUUGUACUAACUUUCACAUUUGAGACACCACUUGAUGGUUCUCCAUCUAUCUCAAUUCUAACUAGUUCUCCACUUCCAUAGCUCAAUCCCAACACAUUUAUUGUGUCAAUAACCAAACCUUGAUCUAAAGCAAACUUGCCCUCUUGAACUUCUGACCAAACUUUCACACUUCCUUCUUUCACUCUUGCAUGGAAUUCAACGUAGGUCGAAUAUCCAUUUCCGAGCUUCAUAUCUGGCAUCUCGUCAUCGUCGAUGAACAAAUUUCCUUUAGCUUCUCCUUCAUUUGCGCCGGCUGGAAAUGUCACGAUGAGGCUAAAAGGUGUCGUUCUAGCAUCCUUAGAUACCAUACCACCUUGUUGCAUUGGAAGAAUGGUGUUCUGAUAUAAAUGCACAUUGAUUUCAUGCAAGGGUGCAUUAAGGGUCACAUAGUUUCCAUCUUUUGAAACAAUUACUUGUGUCAAAUCAAAUAAACUGUACCAUGUUCCGGGCGGAAAGAGUGCUUCUACUUCCGUUUUCCCUUGCUCGAGAACAGGAGAAAUCAUUAAACUGCUUCCGAGUAAGAACUGAGUGCUGAGGCCAUAACAUUGAACAUAAUUUGGAAACGAGAAAAAAAGAGGCCGAGCAAUCGGGGCUCCACUAAUAUGAGCCUCGUAGUUUAGCGUGUACAGAUAGGGUAGAAGCUUAUAUCUCAUCCCCAAAGCAUUUCUAGCCGAUUCAGCUACGGAUUCCCAUCGGUAAAGCUCCUGUCUAGGGGAAAUAACACUUGAAUGAUCCCUUGAGAAUGGAUAGAAAGCACCAACUUCAAUCCACCUAUUACAAAGCUCUUCGGUAGGCGCAGGAUAGAAACCACAUAUAUCUGCACCAACCAUUGGCAUGCCAAAUAUUCCGAAAUUGAGAACGGUGGAUAUAGAAUAUCUUAAAUCCUCCCAUGUUCCUUUGUUGUCACCAGUCCAAUGAGCAGCAUAUUUGCCCGAUCCUACGUAAGUCGAACGAGACAAAACAAAUGGUCGUUUACCUUGAAGUUCAUGAAGUGCUUUGUGCGUUGCAAUGACUUCGGAGAAACCAAAAAGACUAUGAGCAUCAUAUUCCAACACGCCAUUAUAAUGAACUGCACUAGUUGCUAUCGUUUUGAAGCCUAUUGGAGCCUCUUUUCCGGACGCAUUGAUUUUGUAAGGUGGAUCAUCCCAUCUUGUGCUUGUGAUGUUUGUACAAUCCAAGCAACACGUCGAAUUAGGUAAUUUCUCACCUUGAAGUGGACAAAAUCUUCCCUUUGGAAUAGUACAUUUUCCAGUGCAAAAAUUUGAAACCUCGUUCAUGUCAAUCCAUAAGCCAUCAAUAGGAACAAGUUCAUGGAAUCGGCGAAUCUCGUCUCCCCACCAAGAAACUGUUUUUGGAUUAAGAAAAUCAGGAAAGUAAACUGCUCCUGGCCAAACCAUAGCCAUAAAUGGUUCACCUUCAUAUUUGAUAAAAACAUCAUUAGCCAUACCCCUCUGGUACACACCAUAGUUUGUGUUAACGGCGAUUCCGGGAUCAUUGAUCACAAUGUAUUUCAUGCCGAUGCUGUGUAUUCUGUCUAGAAAGUUUAAAAGCUUUGGAAGAGGAUAGUUAAUUGGAUUGACUGUGAAGUCCUUGUGUCCAUCCAUAUGAUCAUCAUCAUUCCAUAUCACAUCAAGUGGAAUUUUGGCCUUCUUGUAAUUCUCAACAACAUCUUCUAUGACAGAUAGGUUGUGAUAACCCCAUCUGCAUUGAUGGAAUCCUAUAAACAUUCAAAAAAUGAAUCUAUUGAGUGAAUAUAUUGGUCAUGAUGCAAACAGGUUUUGGAGAAUGUGUCUAAUCUACAAAAGAAAAUAUCUGAAAAAAAACAAAAACUGUGAUGGGACUAGAGAAGAGUGAAAAGUG
rnacentral:lncRNA from 1 species